rnacentral:ncRNA from 1 species
CGUGCUGCCUUGUGUGGUGUGGCUGUGUGGGGCUGUGUGCGGCGUGCUUGGCCUGCAUGUUGUGCUCGGGCGGAUGGCACCACGUUAGCUAGCAGGUGCGGCGCGAAUGCUUACUUCUUAGAGGGACACGCGGGAGAAGCCGCACGAAAUAGAGCAAUAACAGGUCUGUGAUGCCCUUAGAUGUCCGGGGCCGCACGCGCGCUACAAUGGCGGUGUCAACGAGUCAGACCUUCUGGCCUGAAAAGGUUGGGUAAACUGGUCAAUCACCGUCAUGACAGGGAUCGGGGCUUGGAAUUGUUCCCCGUGAACGAGGAAUUCCUAGUAAGUGCAAGUCAUAAGCUUGCGCUGAUUACGUCCCUGCCCUUUGUACACACCGCCCGUCGCUACUACCGAUUGAAUGGUUUAGUAAGGUCCUUGGAUUGGUGCCAUUUAGGUUCCACCGAAAGGUGAGUAUCUAGCCGGUGCUGAGAAGACGACCAAACUUGAUCAUUUAGAGGAAGUAAAAGUCGUAACAAGGUUUCCGUAGGUGAACCUGCGGAAGGAUCAUUA